CCUACGGGUGACAGCAGUGAGGAAUAUUGGUCAAUGGACGAGAGUCUGAACCAGCCACGUAGCGUGAUGGAUGACUGCCCUAUGGGUUGUAAACUUCUUUUAUAUGGGAAUAAAAUGUUCCACGUGUGGGAUUUAGUAUGUACCAUAUGAAUAAGGAUCGGCUAACUCCGUGCCAGCAGCCGCGGUAAUACGGAGGAUCCGUGCGUUAUCCGGAUUUAUUGGGUUUAAAGGGAGCGUAGGUGGAUUUUUAAGUCAGUUGUGAAAGCUUGCGGCUCAACCGUAAAAUUGCAGGUGAAACUGGCAGUCUUGAGUACAGUAGAGGUGGGCGGAAUUCGUGGUGUAGCGGUGAAAUGCUUAGAUAUCACGAAGAACUCCGAUUGCGAAGGCAGCUCACUGGACUGCAACUGACACUGAGGCUCGAAAGUGUGGGUAUCAAACAGGAUUAGAUACCCUAGUAGUC
rnacentral:rRNA from 1 species